UACGGGGGGUGCAAGCGUUGUUCGGAUUUAUUGGGCGUAAAGCGCGUGUAGGCGGUUUGUUAAGUCUGUUGUGAAAGCCCUGGGCUCAACCCGGGAAGUGCACUGGAUACUGGCAGACUUGAAUACGGGAGAGGAGAGUGGAAUUCCUGGUGUAGGAGUGAAAUCCGUAGAUAUCAGGAGGAACACCGGUGGCGAAGGCGGCUCUCUGGACCGAUAUUGACGCUGAGACGCGAAAGCGUGGGUAGCAAACAGGAUUAGAUACCCUGGUAGUCCACGCCGUAAACGAUGAGUACUAGGUGUUGCGGGUAUUGACCCCUGCAGUGCCGCAGCUAACGCAUUAAGUACUCCGCCUGGGAAGUACGGUCGCAAGACUAAA
rnacentral:rRNA from 1 species